rnacentral:rRNA from 1 species
UUGUCGUCAGCUCGUGUCGUGAGAUGUUGGGUUAAGUCCCGCAACGAGCGCAACCCUCGUCCUAUGUUGCCAGCGGGUCAUGCCGGGGACUCAUGGGAGACUGCCGGGGUCAACUCGGAGGAAGGUGGGAUGACGUCAAAUCAUCAUGCCCCUUAUGUCUUGGGCUUCACGCAUGCUACAAUGGCCGGUACAAAGGGCUGCGAUACCGCGAGGUGGAGCGAAUCCCAGAAAGCCGGUCUCAGUUCGGAUUGGGGUCUGCAACUCGACCCCAUGAAGUCGGAGUCGCUAGUAAUCGCAGAUCAGCAACGCUCGCGUCGAUACGUUCCGGCCUU